GCUGCUGCCUCUAAAGCGCGUCACCCUCGAACGCGGCCCCGCGUAACCGCUGGUAGGUUCCGCGCGCUGCCGCGCAUGCGCCCUCGCGGCGCGUGGGUGCGGGGCAGGCUGAGGAGAAGGGGUCCGGGCGCGCUUCGCUGGGGAAGGCGAUCCGCGGCGCCUCGGGCUGCGAGGGCGGCGGCGUCUCGGUCGCCAGAAGCAUCGUGCGAGAGCGAAGCCGCUGCGGCAGCACGUCAGACAUUUAGCUCCCCGAGAUGAAAUACUGAAGAGGAGGGUGCUGAGACCCAGUGCAACACAGUGAUAUUCCCAGAGUUUUUCUUUUAAAUCUCCACUGCAUACACACAUUUGUGUGUCUAUUAAAUGACUUCCCAUUGAGAUCUGCACCACCUAAAAAAAGUGUUAGAGCUGCCAUUACCUUAGGUGCUGUUGUCCUACUGUCCAGGUUGUCAGUGCUUACUUACAUCUGCACAUCAGCCACAGUGGCAGAAGCUUGUCCUGUCAACUGUUGUCACCUGCAUUCAGCCAGACAGAGAUUUCUGCAAGGUUUUUAGUUUCUCAGUUACUUCGUAAAGCAAUUUCUGGUGCAUAACGGGCUACCAUUGAACAUCACCUUGAGAAACACUGCUCCGACAUCAGGUUAAAGAAGGCAUUAAAUACAGCUGCAGUUUAUGGAAAAAUAAUUCAAAAAUUGUUGGAAAUGGAGUUUGUGGAGUUACAGAUUGGAUCAUAUGGCAUACAUGACUGACCACAACAGGGGAAGCAUGUCUUCUUUUCUGCAGAUGCUAUUAUUACAUACCAAUCUCCUUUAUUGGUGCUAGAAUUCACAGUAUCUUGAAACUAGCAUGCCUAAAAUGAAGCACUGGCUACAGAUAUGUCAGUUUAAUCCCCAUCAUCACUGUAGAAUGACUUCAUUGAGUACAUGGCAUCCAGUCACUGCAUUUGUUCUAGUGCCAUAAGAAAUACACUUCAGACUUGAA